AUCCUUCUAUCUCCACUGACAUCUUCCUCGGAGACAACAGGCUACACCUCUACUCCUCAAGAAAAAUGAUGAACAUCAGCUCUGAGUGCUUGCCAACCUGCGAGGUGGCAUGCACACAGCCAUACGCCUACAGCAGAAGCCUUGAACCCUGUGUUACAUCCUGUGGGGACUCGAGAGCUGUGGUGUAUCCCCCACCAGUUGUCCUCACCUUCCCAGGUCCGACCCUCGCCAGCUGUUCCCAGGAGAGCAUCGUGGGAACUUCGAUUCCCCAGCCAUACGGUCCUGCAAUCCAAUAUGGCUCUGAGGAAUCCUAUGGGAUGGGGGGCUCUGUUGGCACGUCAGGGAAUGGGGUCUCCUUUGGGGAUGGAGGGGUGUCAGGGAUGGGAGGCUACUUUGGAUCUCAGGGUUCUGUUGGAUAUGGAGGCAUGUCAGGGAUGGGGGGCUCUGCUUGGUGCGGAGGUGUGUCAGGGAUGGGGGGCUCCUUUGGAAAGGGGGGCUCCUUUGGGUUCGGGGGCUCCUCUAGGAUAGGGAGCUGUUACAGCAAGCAGUCCUACAGAAGCCACCGUGGAUCCCGCUUUGGAAUCUACAGCUCCUUUUAAAGCAGCCUGAAUGAAUCCCUGCAGACCACGCAUCGACUUGGGAGACGAAAACACCAGAUCUGAGUCUGCAGCUGGGCCUGACUUCCAGAGAUGCAAAAACCCUUUGUGUCAGUGGGAGCCUCCCUUGCUUGAAACCUCCGAAAAGUGGGCCCACGCCUCCUUUCCAUGUCAUGCCUCCUCUUCUAUCAAUAGCACUUUCAUGUAAUCCCUUCUCUCUUCAAUCGUUAUUAGCCUUGCACCAUGUCUUUCCUAGUGGAGUGGAAAUGUUUUGAGACUUGAAAGUGGAAUGUUUCUGCCAAGAUUUCAGCCUUACCUUACAAAGUACAGUGCCUUUUGUUAUCAAUGCAGAUCUUCCAUCUGCCUUUGGAUUGUGUAGUAGACCAUUAUCAGACUGUACUCUUCCAUUCUAUAAUGCUUACUUCAUGUCAUAUUAAAAGUCUUGUUGAAUUAU